CAGGUGUGCACUGCUCCCAGCUGUGUGGUCUCCCUUGCUGAACCUGCUGCUUGCAAGUGUGAACAGGAGCAGGGCAGAGAAGACACUUGGUUCUCCGUGCAGAAAAGGCUUGGAAAUGAUCCACAGGGGACCUGCAUUUCACUUGGCACCAUGGUUUCCAGAGAAUUGAGAAGCAUCUAAUCCACUUUUUAAGAAACAUCACUUAAGUAACAGAAUGAAUUGAAGACUUGUGGGUAAGGUGGUGCCAUGAGUACAGAUUAAGAAUUAAGUCUCAUGGAUUUCUACAACAAUCAAUUUCAAGUGUUGACCCAGCAG